CUUGCAUUAGAUGGAUUAAUUAUUGAUCAGCUGGGGUGAAAAUGUCUGGCAGUGUUUUUGCAACACGGGCCUCUUGAUUCCUCUACUUCCCAUUUCAACUCCCUCCCACCGGUACCAGAACCGAGGCUGUACCGUCCCGAACGAGCCAGGGGGAGAUUAUGGCGUCUGUCGCCGUGUUGCUCUUUGACUGAUCUCAGGGCCUGAUGACGUUAGCAGCAGCUUCCUGGAGAGCAUCAGAGGCUAAUGGCUACCCGAACCUGCAGCUGGAGCGCUUUCUAGAAUCCUGGAAUCCCCCAAGGCGCUUCACAACACAAUCAGUCAUUCACACGCUGUUGGGGAUGAGCUACCAUGUAGCCACAGCUGCUGACAGAGGCGAGGCUGCUGAGCUCAGGUGCCGCCGGUCCCUCCAACCACCACCAGCAAGCAAAGGGGCGUCUUGCCCAAGGACACAACUGCAGCGAAAAGGCUCAAACCUGCAACCUUCCGAUUACAGGCAGCACUUAACUCCUGUGCCACCAUCAUCCUGUUAUCUAUACAUCAAAAAUCUGCUACAGACGUUUCCAUUCGUCCCAAAUCCAGUAAGCACAAGAAUCCGCGUGUGGGAUUAUUUAACGGAGAAUAAAAAUAAGCACACUUGAUCACAAAGCAGGAAGCAGUCUUACCUGCACGGAUCUGAACCUGCUGGAUCGAAUCCAGGGCCUCAUGGUGCUCCUGUGGGUUCAGCCUUCCUGGUUGUGACUGAGACCUCCGCGGGCUGGGCCGCUGACACCAACACCAGCAGAGAAAUCAUCCGAUCACAACGCUGCUGGCUGUGGAGGAUCG